rnacentral:ncRNA from 1 species
GAGAACGAUGAUCCGGGAGGUUGCGCAUUCUUGUAAAUGCGGGAAUUUCCGGGGAGCGAAUGUCCAGUUCAAGAAACGGACGGCAA